GACGAACGCUGGCGGCGUGCUUAACACAUGCAAGUCGAACGGUGAACGAGGGAGCUUGCUCCCUCCGGAUCAGUGGCGAACGGGUGAGUAACACGUGAGCAAUCUGCCCCGAACUCUGGGAUAAGCGUUGGAAACGACGUCUAAUACCGGAUACGACGCGGGAGGGCAUCCUCUCCGCGUGGAAAGAACUUCGGUUCGGGAUGAGCUCGCGGCCUAUCAGCUUGUUGGUGAGGUAACGGCUCACCAAGGCGACGACGGGUAGCCGGCCUGAGAGGGUGACCGGCCAAACUGGGACUGAGACACGGCCCAGACUCCUACGGGAGGCAAGAGUGGGGAAUAUUGCACCAUGGGCGGAAGCCUGAUGCAGCAACGCCGCGUGAGGGACGACGGCCUUCGGGUUGUAAACCUCUUUUAGCAGGGAAGAAGCGAAAGUGACGGUACCUGCAGAAAAAGCACCGGCUAACUACGUG
rnacentral:rRNA from 1 species